CCUACGGGAGACAGCAGUGGGGAAUAUUGGGCAAUGGACGCAAGUCUGACCCAGCCACGCCGCGUGAAGGAUGAAGGCUUUCUGGUUGUUAACUUCUUUUUAUGGGGGAGUGCAGUACACUGUAUCCCUUGAUUUGUCUACGGCUAACUACGUGCCAUCAGCCGCGGCCAUACGUAGGUGGCCAGCGUUGUCCGGGUUUACUGGGUGUAAAGGGCGUGUAGCCGGGAAGACAAGUCAGGUGUGAAAGUCCGCGGCUCAACCGCGGAACUGCAGUUGAAACUGUUUGUCUUGAGUAUCGGAGAGGUAAUCGGAAUUCCUAGUGUAGCGGUGAAAUGCGUAGAUAUUAGGAAGAACACCAGUGGCGAAGGCGGAUUACUGGACGGCAACUGACGGUGAGGCGCGAAAGCGUGGGGAGCAAACAGGAUUAGAUACCCGGGUAGUC
rnacentral:rRNA from 1 species